GCCAAGAAAAUAUAAAAUCAGACCUUUACUUCCUGGUCAGACAGGUUUCAUGUUUCUACACUUGGAUGUUAAAGUUUGAACUUUAACUUUGUGAAGCAGAAGGACAAAAAGUCUGUUAGCCUUGAAGAAUCCAGCAGACAAAAGGCUGUUCAGAACGUCAUUUCUGAGACGUUACAGUGAAGCCCAACUUCCUGUUGUGUCACGUAAACACGGAGAUGUGUGUGUUUAGUAGUUUCAGUCAAUUUGUUGUCUGAAAGUUUCAUCGGUUUCAUCCCGUCUUCACAGCAUGAAGGUGAGUUUGACUGCAGUUAAAGUACUGCAGUACCUGUUUUUAAACAUAUUAGUAUUCCAAAGUACAUUUUCCUUUCAAAGUAAAAGCACUGAUGUGACUCCGCCGUCGUCGUGUGACGUCACUAACAGCAAUGUGUUUAUUUGACAAGAUUAAAACACAUUUCUGACAGGACUUCAGUCAGUAACUUUAACUCGUCUGUUUCACGAGUUAACUGUUAGUUUGAGUGUACGUGACGAUGAAGAAUCUUCUUCUUCUUCUUAUUCGGUGCUUGUUGAUGCAGUUUGUGUUUGUCACAUGAGUUCACAGACUGUUUGUCCCUCCUCAUCCAGUAAUGAAGCUGAUUGUCUUCUUCUUCAGUGUUGCUGCAGUCUGGACUUUGUGGAGCUCCGUCAGUGUCUCCAGCUGCGGUUCAGACUGACUGACAGACCUUCAGUAACACUGCCACCUGCUGCUGACUGGCAGCACUGCAGCUCACACUGGCUCUCUGCUCUCACGUCAGACUGACGUUUCUGGAUUUGGAUUUGAAGGUAUGAGGAUGUGACGGCUGUCGGUCGGACGAACACCAGCAGCGUCUGUCGGCGUCUGCGGACGAAGAAACAAAGUGUGUUUGAUCUCGUGUGGAGCUGAACAGGUGUGUGUCACAAACCUCCUGCAAUCAGAAGUGUGAAUCUUUUAACUGGUGGACCCCGUCGUCAACAGCAGCAAAGCGUCCUUUUAGUCCUGACCCACAGACUGAAUCCAAAGACUUCCAGAGUGUCUGUGAGGAAGCCCAGAGGUUUCUGAUGGGAAACUUUGAACCCUGCAGUCUGGGUUUAACACUCGCCACCGUCUCUGUCAGGAAAUGCUAAUAUGGUUUGUGUUGCUGUGGUGGGACAGGACUAUCAGUCCAAGAUAAGACAGCAGAGAACUUCAGUCAGGGCUUUCAGCUGGAGUUUCUGCUUCACAAGACAAUAAAAAUAUGAUGAACAAAGCAAAUAUGAAGACUUUCUUAUUUCUUUAUAGUCAUGGAGCCACAGGCACUAAA